rnacentral:rRNA from 1 species
UACAGAGGUCUCAAGCGUUGUUCGGAUUCAUUGGGCGUAAAGGGCGCGUAGGCGGCGGGGUAAGUCGGGUGUGAAAUCUCAGGGCUCAACCCUGAAACUGCACUCGAUACUGCUCUGCUUGAGGACUGGAGAGGAGACUGGAAUUCACGGUGUAGCAGUGAAAUGCGUAGAUAUCAUGAGGAAGACCAGUGGCGAAGGCGGGUCUCUGGACAGUUCCUGACACUGAGGCACGAAGGCCAGGGGAGCAAACGGG